AGUGGGUAUGGACUACACUGCCUACUUCCAUUAGCCUGGUACCAAUGAUCAUAUUUUACAUAAUUAUAACUUGGAAUAAAAGUUAAUAAAAUAAAAUUUUUUACCUCUCAUAAUAACAAUGAUGAUGAUGAUAAUGGUAACUUGUGCUGACAAUAAUGUGCAGCAAAGGCAGGGAGUGUGUGAAGGAUGUUUGGGGAAAAGCAAGCUCAGCAGUAACAUUUUUAGGUUUCCAAGACUGAUGACACAGCUGGCCCACUGGAGACCCGGGCAGUGGGAGGAUCCUCAUUAGUGUAAAUAAAUAGGAGGCUCUGGUCCUGAAAACAGCCCAGAUGAGAUUCAAAUCCAGAUUCAGAUUGUUGAAUCAAGCCUGGCUCAUCCUCCUCUCCCUUAUCAAGGCAGAAUGAAAUCCACUGCUGCCUCCGUGGUUGUGGCUCUGCUCAUGGUUAUCAAUUACUCUUCAGUCCAAGGUAUACUGGAGACCAACGAUGCCAGCCAGAAGUGCAGGUGCCUCAAGCUGUCAGAAGGCGUCCCUGUACGCUUGAUUAAAACCAUAUUUAUUUCACCACCUAACGGAGGCUGCCGAAAUACAGAAUGCGUAGUCACAUUGAAAUCUGGGAAGAAAGUAUGUGUGGAUCCAAAGUGCAAAUGGUUAGACAAUAUCAUCAAAAAUGUAAUAAGAAACAAGGCUACCCCACCAAAUGUGACUGUUGGGAAACAACGCCAGGAUUCCAAAUAAGAUCAUCUGGGCUUGCCUUCCUUCCUGUUGGAAUCCUCAUUUCUUUUAUUAAUGGUUUUUGUUCUGGUAAAAUGCUCUUUUUAGGUACUUCCUUCCUAGAAACAAAUAGCCAAAAUGAUUUUUCUGCAGCAGUCCAGUAACACAUUAGCUUCUCUCUAAGGAUAUAUACCCAAGUGCUUGACUUACAUAUCCUUGAUCAAUAUUAGUAAAUAAACUUAUCAGAAAUAUUUAAAAGUUCUUUCA
rnacentral:lncRNA from 1 species